ACCCCAACAGGAGCAUUGACUGGUCUUUUUAAAUUCAGUAAGUGCUACUUGUUGGGGUA
ensembl:miRNA gmo-mir-430a gmo-mir-430a